UACGAAGGGGGCUAGCGUUGCUCGGAAUCACUGGGCGUAAAGGGUGCGUAGGCGGGUCUUUAAGUCAGAGGUGAAAUCCUGGAGCUCAACUCCAGAACUGCCUUUGAUACUGGAGAGCUUGAGUCCGGAAGAGGUGAGUGGAACUCCGAGUGUAGAGGUGAAAUUCGUAGAUAUUCGGAAGAACACCAGUGGCGAAGGCGGCUCACUGGUCCGGUACUGACGCUGAGGUGCGAAAGCGUGGGGAGCAAACAGG
rnacentral:rRNA from 1 species